AUGGCGUCCAUGCAGCCGCCGUCAGUUGAGGUGGUGGAGCGCGGCCGGCAGUCGGCAUUGGGCAAGGAGACCGGCCAGUCAUGGGAGUAUCGGCUGCGGAAAUACCUCCUGCUGCUGGCCACGCUGGUGGUGACCGUGACGUACGCCGCGGGCUUCAACCCGCCAGGGGGCGUCUGGCAGGACACCCGCGGCGGCCAACUCGCCGGCGACCCCAUCAUCCGCGCCACCCACUACCACUGGUACCUCGCCUUCUACUACUGCAACGCCACCGCGUUCGCCGCGUCCCUCGUGGUCAUCGUCCUCAUCCUCGUCCUCGCCAUCUCGCACGACAAAAAGAUUGAGGAGGGGAAGGAGACGACGGUGCUCGUGUCGCUGCGGGUUUUCAUGGGGCUGGACGUGCUCAGCCUCAUGAGCGCCUACGGCGCUGGCACCUACCGGGACGUGGUCAGCGCCGUCUUGUAUUGCACGGUGUCGGUGGGCACUGUCUUGGUCUACGUCGUGUGCAUCAUCACUAUGAAGAGGCUGAGCUGCUUUCCUGGCAAGAAGUCCGAGUCCGAGUCCGUCUCCGGUAGGGCGAAAGGCAAAGAACGGCACUGCAAAAUCCUGAUGCUUCUCGCGACCUUCGCGGUGAGCGUCACGUACGUCGCCGGGCUUAGCACGCCGGGCGGCUUCUGGGACAGCACGGGGGGCAGCCACCUCCCGGGCGACCCGAUUCUCAGGGAUCGUCACGACCUGCGCCUGACGGUGUUCUUAUUCUGCAACACCACGGCGUUCGUGGCGUCCCUGUUCAUCACCAUGCAGCUCAUCAUCGACAGCAAGCUCCACGAGGAAACGAAGGGACGCCUGCCUCGCAAGUACGCGCUCUACGCGUGCAUCAUCGUCGCGCUGCUCGGCCUCGUCAGCGCAUACAUCGCCGGCAGCUGCAGGGAGACCCGCACCACCGUCUCCGUGAUCAUCAUCCUGGUUGGCGCCUCCAUCUGCAUCCGACUUGUCCUGUCAAAAUGGAUGUCGUCAAAGAUUAAAGAAGUAGCGCCAAAAUGGUUGAGUUGUCGUUCGAGUCCAGCUCACCAAAAUGGUGAAAAUCAGCAGACUGAUAAUGCCAGGGAGGCCAUGGACAAGGCUCGCUCUCUUGUUCUAUUGCUUGCCACUCUUGCGGCCACCAUCACCUACACAGCGGGGCUGGACCCGCCGGGUGGCCUGUGGCAGGAUAACGGCGAUGGGCACAUGGCCGGCGACCCGAUCCUUCUCACGACGAAUGCUAGGCGGUACAAGGCCUUCUACUACUGCAACUCGGCUGCCUUGGUGACCUCCUUGGUGGCCAUCAUCCUGGUCCAAAAUAAGCUUCUGCUCAAGCACCACGUGCUGGAGGUAGCCAUGAUACUCGUCUUAUUUGGCCUCAUGGGCGCUUAUGCCGCCGGGAGUUGCCGGGACGUGGACACCUCCAUUUACGCCAUGGCCUUGGCAGGCGUGGUCCUUAUUUAUGUGGUGAUCCAUGUUGUCAUCUUCACGCUGGACCAUAAGGAAAAGCAAGGUGACGAAGAGCUGCUGGAGAAGAGGCGCAAGCGGUUGCUCCUCUUCGCGAUCUUGGCUGCGACCAUCACCUACCAAGCCGGCCUCACCCCUCCAGGCGGCUUCCUUCUCAGGGACGACGAGUUCGGGCACCGCGCUGGUGAUCCGAUCCUCUUGCACAACUUCCCACACCGUUACAAUGCCUUCUUCUACUGCAACACGGUGAGCUUCAUGUUGUCCAUCGCUCUCAUCAUCCUCCUGGUGAACCCCAACCUAUACUGGCCAGCCAUACGAAGCAAUGCGCUAUCUGUUUGUGCGGGGGUGGGCUUGUUUGGUUUGCUGGCGGGCUACGCCGCGGGAAGCACUCAACACAUCAAGACCUCCAUCUACAUAUUCGUGUUAGUGGCAGUGGUCCUCCUCUUCGCCGCCGUUCUGCUAGCAUUAUUUUUGUGGACUGAGGUGCGGAGAAAUGGCAAUUCGGCAGGCGAGGUGGAGAUAAAUGACAACUCGGUAGCCGGUGCGCCAUCAGAGCCAGAGGGAAAUGGCAUAUCCCUCGGAGAGGGGGAAGAACAAAAGGAGGAAGAACACAAGAAGAAGACGAAGGAGGAGGAAAAACAAGAAAAGAAGGAGCACGCGGAGCGCAAGUAUGUAAUGCUACUAGGCAUCUUGGUGGCGAGCGUAACCUACCAGGCCGGCCUGAAGCCACCCGGCGGAGCGUGGCAGAGCAGCGGCAACGGAUAUGAGGCAGGCAACCCGGUGAUGCACGACAACAGGACACCUCAGUACCUCACCUUCUUCUACAGCAACUCCAUUUCGUUUGUGGCAUCCAUCCUUGUCAUCAUCAUGCUGCUACGAUACUGGCUGAUAAAGAAGGAGUAUGAAGAUUGGUCGCUAAGGGUGAUGAAAAUCACUACCGUGGUGAAUUUUGUCGCUCUACUGGUGGCCUAUACAGUCGGUUCCAGCAGGAGUUGGAAGACGUCUUUGCGUGUCGCUGCGUUGAGCGUUGCCUUGCAGGGCUACCUAGCAAUCAUUAUCUUGUGCUUGUCUUGGCAUCAUCAUCUUGAGAAGAAGCCGAGCAUGGCGAGCAACCAAGGAAAUCCUCCAGCGUGA
rnacentral:rRNA from 1 species